rnacentral:lncRNA from 1 species
GGUGGCUUACAAUAGCGGUACAUCUACAGCUACAGCAGGUCACCACCACCACCAUCAUCACCACCUUCCACACCUUCCUCCUCCUCACCUUCACCACCACCACCACCACCCUCAAUACCACCUUCAUUCGGCGUCCGCUGCUGCCGUACACCCAGUCCAGACAACAUAUGUCUUUGGCAGCUGUGGCAGCCGCCGCAGCAGCUGCAGCCGCAGCCAUGUUAAACCCUGGGCAACAACAGCCAUAUUUCCCAUCCUCGGCACUGGGUCAGGCUCCUGGGCCAGCUGCAGCAGCCCCAGGUCAGGUACAGGCUGGUGCAGUUGCUACAGUUAAGGCGCACCAUCAUCAGCACUCGCAUCAUCUGCAACAGCAGCUGGACAUUGAGCCAGAUAGACCUAUUGGGUAUGGAGCCUUUGGCGUUGUCUGGUCAGUAACAGAUCCAAGAGAUGGAAAGAGAGUAGCACUCAAAAAGAUGCCCAAUGUCUUCCAGAAUCUGGUCUCUUGCAAAAGAGUUUUCCAGGAAUUGAAGAUGCUGUGUUUUUUAAACAUGAUAAUGUACUCUCUGCCCUUGACAUACUCCAACCUCCACACACUGACUAUUUUGAAGAAAUAUAUGUUGCCACAGAAUUGAUGCAGAGUGACCUACAUAAAAUUAACGUCUCUCCUCAGCCACUCAGCUCGGAUCAUGUCAAAGUUUUUCUUGAUCAGAUUUUGUGAGGUUUAAAAUACCUCCAUUCAGCUGGCAUUUCACACCAAGACAUUAAGCCAGGGAAUCUCCUUGUGAACAGCAAUUGUGUUCUAAAGAUUUGUGAUUUGGUGCCCUCUCCAGCCAGGCCACACAUGAAGCCAUUCACCUGCUUUGCAGGAUGUUGGUCUUUGAUCCAUCAAAAAGAAUAUCCACUAAGGAUGCCUUAGCCCACUCCUAGCUAGAUGAAGGGUGGCUCAGAUACCAUAUGUGUAUGUGAAAGUGCUGCUUUUCCACCUCGACGGGGAGAGUCUACACCAGGGACUUUGAUCCUGUCACCAACCCCAAAUUUGAUGACACCUUUGAGAAGAACGUCAGCUCUGUCUGACAGGUUAAAAAAUUUAUCCACCAGUUCAUUCUGGAACAGCAGAAAGGAAACAGAGUGCCUCUCUGCAUCAACCCUCAGUCCUCUGCCUUUAAAAGCUUUAUAAAAGAGCUUUAUUAGUUCCACUCUAGCUCAGCCUUCUGAGAUGCCUUGGUCUACUCA